UACUCACUUAUCUUUUAUAAAAUGAAAAAAUUAUAUCAAAUUUUACUAUUUUAUAGUUAUAUCUAUCAUUUUAAAAUAAAAUAUUGUAUUUAACUAAAUAUGAUAAGAUUAUUUUAAACUGAUAAAUUAAUAUAUUUUAUUUUCACAAACAUUAAAAAUUUAUGCUAGAAAUAUAAUAAGUUGGUAAAACGGGUUAACAUUAGUAAAUUAGAUUAUUCAUGUAUAAAAUUUACUUAUCUUAAAAUUAUAUAUAUAUAUAUAUAUAUAUAUAUAUAUAGUUAUUAUCUUAAAUGAAUAAACAUAAAAAAAUAUUGAUAAAGGAAAUCUAACGAUUUGAAUUACAGAUCAUGAUCAUAAUAAUUGAAUAAAAAAUAAUAUUAAAAUAUAUAUAAUAAAAAAUAUCAAAUAUAUGUGAUGAUUUGAAAUAAUUAAUUAAUUUACAGCAUGAAAACUAUCAAACUGUUAUAUUUAAAAUAAUUAUAUAUAAACAUUUAACAGUGUGUUGUGCUAUAUACUUACACGCCAAACGGUUUCUGCAGAAACAGUGUGUUGUGCUAUUGUAAAGAAAGAGACUUUAUGAAACAAUUUUAUAUGCAGAAACCGUUUGGCAUAUUGAAAAAUGGGUAAACUAUUAAAGAGGUGACGGAGAAGUUCGUUGAGAGAUACAGUAACAUUAAAUUUCUGCAAGAAGUUCGUUGAGAGAUACAGUAACAUUAAAUUUCUGCAAGGCUAUGGCUUGACUGAGACGGCGGCUAUAGUUGCUUCUAUAUUUACUAAAGAGGAGACUGAGAGGUACGGAUCCUCUGGUUUGCUUGCUCCGAACGUGGAGGGUAAGAUUGUGGAUCCGGAUACGGGUCGGGUCUUGGGGGUGCAUCGAACCGGGGAGCUCUGGCUCCAGAGUCCUACCGUGAUGAAAGGUGAUUGAUUCUUUUCGAAAAUGUGUUUUUGUUUUUGGUAUGAAACUGUUUUGAGUUGUUUUUAAAAGGUUCUUUCAAGAACGAGGAAGCUACUGCAUCUACUAUUGAUUCAGAAGGAUAGUUGAAGACUGGAGAUUUGUGUUACAUUGACGGUGAAGGUUUUGUCUUUGUUGUUGAUAGAUUAAAGGAGCUUAUCAAAUGCAAUGGUUAUCAGGUAAUAAACAAAAAUCUUUCUUAAUGUGUGGAUCAUCUUUUGUAAAGUUGGUGGGUUUUGGUAAUGGUUUAAAAUGUUUGUUAGGUUGCUGCAGCUGAGCUUGAAGCAUUGUUGCUUGUUCAUCCAGAGAUUGCUGAUGCUGCAGUAAUACCAAAUCUCUGUCAAAACUGAAUAUUGAUUUUGCUCAGCCUAAGCAGCAGGUCUAUUCUAAGUCGCUGCGUCCGAGUUUCGUUACGGUCCGAGCCAUGUCAGAGUCUCAGACAGCUCUAAAGAAUCAGCCACAGUCCUCGGCCUCCUCUGGAAAGAAGCAAGCUUUGAUAUCUUUAUCUGACAAGUAGGAUUUAGCUACUCUUGGCAACGGUCUUCAAGAGUGGGUAUGUCUUAUUUCAUAUUUUUUAGUUAUGUUUCUGUUCUAAUAAGUGUUUAUGGAUUGAAAAAUGAUUCCUUUUUUCAUCUCUAGAUACACUAUUGUUUCUAGUGGAGGAACUGCCUCAACCUUGGAGAAUGCUGGAGUCUGUCACUUCCAAAGUCGAGACGCUUACUCAUUUCCCUGAAAUGAAAAGCAGCUUGAUGGCCGUGUGAAGAGUUUGCACCCAAACAUACACGGUGGUAUCCUCGCUAGAAGAGAUGUGGAGCAUCAUAUGGAAGCUCUUAAUGAGCAUGGCAUUGGUGAGUUUGGACAUUUGAUUAGCCUUUAUUUUCUAAGGCUGAGACAAGUUAAUCUGUAGUAUUCCUUCGUGUUAAAUAGCUUCAUUUUGUUUUGUAUUGAAUGACGGGUACAUUUGAUGGAAAUUUAUUGUGGAACCGAACUCUUCCUCCGCCAUCUCCAAUAAGACCUGAAAGAUUGGAUGCUUCAGAUAAUCCAACGGCAAAACAAACCUCAUGUCUUCUCUGGUGAACACAGAGAAGUGUCCUUUCUUACACUGCCUCCACUUCUCCAUCAUAUUGGUGAGUUUAAGACUCUUGCAAGAUCCUUUCUUCAUAUGUUUCGACUCUGAUGUCUCUGCUCUUUGAUCGGUUACCAACAUAAUACCGUUGUGUAUACUAUUUGUUAGACUGUUACUGUCUGAAGCUAUACCUUCCUCUCUCUCCAUGUAUAUAUACUACAAAACGUGAUUAGUGUUUGUGAAAAUAUCUCGAACAAAAAAUAUGAUUUUAAAAAUAACUAAUAAAAAGAAUAUGAAAUUUUUUUAAAAAAUAAUUCAAUAACAUAAAAAUAAUUUUGAAAAUAAGAAUUUAUUUUACAAUAACAAAUACUCCGCGUGAAACACGAGAAAUACGAGAAACUAAAAAAAUAUUAUAAAAAUGGAAUAAGUCACAUAAUUUUAAAAGAUUUUUAACAAUUAAUUGAGAAAAAUAUAAUAAAAUAGAACUAAAAGAAUUAAUUAUAAAAAUAAAUGAAAAUUGUAUUUAUUUAAUAACACAUUAAAGAAACCAUAUGCAAAUAAAUGUAUUAACUUCAUGAAUUUCAAAGAGAGUUUCAAUACAACUAAUUUAAUACUGAUAUGAAAAUAAUUUUUUUGUAAUUACAAAUUUUAAAUUGAAACGUAAUAAAAACGAUAAGAUAUAGGAGUAUAAAUGAAAGUGGAAAAUAUAAAACAAACCAAUCAAAAUAUUUAUAUUACCAAAAUAAAGAAGAACACAUUUCUAUUGAAAUCAUCUCAACCAUCAACGUAUAAAUUUACUUAAUUUCAAAAAGUAGUGAAAAUUCAUGAUAAAACCCUAUAAAAUAAAGUAACCACGAAAAUAGUUAUUCAACCCACAUAUAUCCAAACUUUCUCAAAUAAUAACAACUAUUAAACCAAUUAUACAUACUUAACCAAUGUGUUUUUCUUUGCUUUUAAUUUUAAUUGUAAUAUAAAGAAUUUAAAAUAUCCCAAAACCUUUCAUUUCAGAUGAAUGACUCUAAAAUUCAAUGUAUGAGAUAACGUAAGAAACUAUUUACUUAAUCUAUACAAGAAUUAUUAUUAGAAAAAAACAAAUAAUUUUGACUUUGAAACAAAACUACCACGAGACUAAAACAUCUUCACAUAUUAGCAAACAACAACUGUGGUGAGGUAACUAUCUUUAUGCCAUAAUUUUGUUAUGCACAUGAGAACAUGAGGAAUGCAUGAAAUUUAUGGAUCGUCAUGAACAAAAACUAACAUGUCACGGGCAGACAAAUGCUGAGAUAGAUCAAACGUUCCUUAUGCGGUGUUUCUUUAUUGAAAAAGAAGUGUUAUGAGACUAAUAUGAUCUUUACAAUGCCACCACAUCUCAAUAAUCUUGAAAAAUGAAAUAUUGAUUGUUAUUAUUAUAAACAAAUGGAGGAUUUCUUAGUGUUGGUUUUACGGUGAUUGAUAAGUGCUUACACUCAUCGGCCACUACUCAGUUUUCACACUUUCCAGUUUCAAUGUGUUCUUAUUUUGAUUAGCUUUGCACUAAUACAUUUUUUCUCAUUUAAUUUAACAUUUUACUUUUAAUAAGAAAUGCAACUUCAAAUAAUCACCACUUUUGUUCUAACAGCAUGUCGAGCAUGUCGAAAAUCUAAGAUUUAAACAUAAAGGAUAAUUACUUUUAUAACAUACAUAAAAAAUUACCCACAACCAAAUCCGUCACAACCUAAAUAUUACAAAUCACAAAUAACAUAUCAAAUACGAAAUCAAUUUUUUUUGUAAAAUGAAACAACAUGAAGACAUUUGAAGCCCUCACAACAUAACAAUGCCACAACUCUUUAAUAAAGAAACAACUAUUGCAAACAAGCAAAAUAUAUUUUAUCACAUAUAAUUUUUCUUCACCUAAAACUUUCUAAAAGACAAAAAUCAUUAUCAUAUACAUCUAUUGCAAAUGUAAACCAAAAACACAACUCACAAAAUCAUACAAAAAAUAAUAACAUAAAUCACAAGUAAAAUAUAUCCCGUCCGCAAGGCGGGCCGGCCCUAGUUAUUAUAUAAAACUUGAUUUUUCAAAAUUGCUAAUUAACAUGAUC